rnacentral:rRNA from 1 species
GACGAACGCUGGCGGCGUGCUUAACACAUGCAAGUCGAACGGAAAGGCCCUGCUUGCAGGGUACUCGAGUGGCGAACGGGUGAGUAACACGUGGGUGAUCUGCCCUGCACUUCGGGAUAAGCUUGGGAAACUGGGUCUAAUACCGGAUAGGAACCAUCUUUAGUGUGGUGGUUGGAAAGUUUUUUCGGUGUAGGAUGAGCUCGCGGCCUAUCAGCUUGUUGGUGGGGUAAUGGCCUACCAAGGCGGCGACGGGUAGCCGGCCUGCGAGGGUGUACGGCCACAUUGGGACUGAGAGACGGCCCAGACUCCGACGGGAGGCAGCAGUGGGGAAUAUUGCACAAUGGGCGCAAGCCUGAUGCAGCGACGCCGCGUGGGGGAUGAAGGCCUUCGUGUUGUAAACUCCUUUCGCUAGGGACGAAGCUUUGUUGUGACGGUACCUAGAUAAGAAGCACCGGCUAACUACGUG